GCCUUGAAGGAAGGCCAGUACUGAGAACCACAGGCCCCCAGCAGAAGCAGCACGGACGAGGCUUUGAAUACAAAAGAACCCACAUCACUGCAUACAGAAGGAAGUCAACUCAGUAGGCUGCUGUGACAUUUCUUAAAGACCCGCCUUGCUGACCAAAGUUUUCUUCAUCAUAACUGGAAAGCAGCCAAAAUAUUCUUUUUAGCUGAAAAGUGAGCAGAGUGUGUGAAACAUUUGGAAGCAGUGAUUAGCACACUUAAAGGGCCCAGCAUGUAAGGAUGGAGAUUCUCUUGGAUGUGAAGGACCCGGACGGGAGGGAUGGACAAUUGGUAACAACCCCCAGUGUCACAGUGGAGCGUCUCCAGUUUGCAGACGUUGUUGUGUCUGAUGAAAAUGUGCCAACCAGAGAUUCCUGCCUGGACCAGAAAAUCUCAAGAAUAGGAGUGAUCACCAAGCCCCCUCGUCACCUCCUCUCCGGGAGACUGAAGCUGAUGGCAGAUGAUGACAGCGCCCUGGACUCAGAGCUUCCGGCUUGGUUGUGCUAGGGAGUGAGUGAGGAUGUGAGGUCUCCCUCACGGCCUGUCCACCCUGGGCAGGAAAAUUUCCCCAUUUUCCCAUUGGUCUCCAUGGGGAGCUGGAAUGCAGUGGACAUCUUUCCCGGAAGCCGUGAUGUCUGAGAUAAGAGGAGAGCAUUUCAGCGGAACUUUUCUUAGCCUCCUGUACAGUGUCCUUAUUUGCUUCUUAAAAAAAAAACCAAAAAACAAAAAAAACAGUGUAUCCUUUAUUUGAAAUGUUGUUUAUUAAAUGCACUCGAUUUCUUCACGCAUCUCUUUCCCCUGGGACUCAGAGAAACUGAAAUGUCCCUGGUCUUCAGCCUCCCAGCUUUAGUUAAAUGGGCUUUUUCCUGGACAUAAAGGGCAAAAUAAAAUGGAGAAUAC
ensembl:lncRNA